AUUGAACGCUGGCGGCAGGCCUAACACAUGCAAGUCGAACGGUAACAGGAAGAAGCUUGCUUCUUUGCUGACGAGUGGCGGACGGGUGAGUAAUGUCUGGGAAACUGCCUGAUGGAGGGGGAUAACUACUGGAAACGGUAGCUAAUACCGCAUAACGUCGCAAGACCAAAGAGGGGGACCUUCGGGCCUCUUGCCAUCGGAUGUGCCCCGAUGGGAUUAGCUAGUAGGCGGGGUAACGGCUCACCUAGGCGACGAUCCCUAGCUGGUCUGAGAGGAUGACCAGCCACACUGGAACUGAGACACGGUCCAGACUCCUACGGGAGGCAGCAGUGGGGAAUAUUGCACAAUGGGCGCAAGCCUGAUGCAGCCAUGCCGCGUGUAUGAAGAAGGCCUUCGGGUUGUAAAGUACUUUCAGCGGGGAGGAAGGGAGUAAAGUUAAUACCUUUGCUCAUUGACGUUACCCGCAGAAGAAGCACCGGCUAACUCCGUG
rnacentral:rRNA from 1 species